GAGUCUUCGGACUGCGGAAGAGUGGCGAACGGGUGAGGAACACGUAAGAAUCUGCCCCUCGGUCGGGGACAACUCUUGGAAACGAGAGCUAAUACCCGAUACGCUGUGGAGUGAAAGAAUUUCGCCGAGGGAUGAUCUUGCGUCUGAUUAGCUAGUUGGUGUGGUAACUGCACACCAAGGCGACGAUCAGUAGCUGGUCUGAGAGGAUGGACAGCCACAUUGGAACUGAGACACGGUCCAAACUCCUACGGGAGGCAGCAGUGGGGAAUUUUCCGCAAUGGACGAAAGUCUGACGGAGCGACGCUGCGUGAAGGAUGACGGCCCGCGGGUUGUAAACUUCUUUUCUCGAAGAAGAAACAAAUGACGGUAUUCGAGGAAUAAGCAUCGGCUAACUCCGUGCCAGCAGCCGCGGUAAGACGGAGGAUGCAAGUGUUAUUCGGAAUGAUUGGGCGUAAAGAGUCUGUAGGCUGUAUAGAAAGUCUUUUGUUAAAUUCCUCGGCUCAACCGAGAUCAAGC
rnacentral:rRNA from 1 species